GAUCCCAUAGUUCAAUGGAUAGAAUAGGGGCGUCCUAAGCCUUCGAUCCAGGUUCGAGUCCUGGUGGGAUCACCA
rnacentral:tRNA from 1 species